rnacentral:rRNA from 1 species
GAUGAACGCGGGCGGCGCGCCUAACACAUGCAAGUCGAACGAUUAAAGCACUUUCGGGUGUGUAUAAAGUGGCGAACGGCUGAGUAACACGUGGGCAACCUGCCCCUCUCAUUGGGAUAGCCACGGGAAACCGUGGAUAAUACCGAAUACUUCGAGUCUCCCGCAUGGAAGACUCGAGAAAGCUCCGGCGGAGAGGGAUGGGCCCGCGGCCUGUUAGCUUGUUGGUGGGGUAACGGCCUACCAAGGCAAUGAUGGGUAGCUGGGUUGAGAGACCGACCAGCCAGAUUGGGACUGAGACACGGCCCAGACUCCUACGGGAGGCAGCAGUGGGGAAUCUUGCACAAUGGGCGAAAGCCUGAUGCAGCGACGCCGCGUGCGGGAUGAAGGCCUUCGGGUUGUAAACCGCUUUCAGCAGGGACGAGGCGAAAGUGACGGUACCUGCAGAAGAAGCCCCGGCUAACUACGUGCCAGCAGCCGCGGUAAUACGUAGGGGGCAAGCGUUAUCCGGAUUCAUUGGGCGUAAAGCGCUCGUAGGCGGUCUGUUAGGUCGGGAGUUAAAUCCGGGGGCUCAACCCCCGUUCGCUCCCGAUACCGGCAGACUUGAGUUUGGUAGGGGAAGGUGGAAUUCCUAGUGUAGCGGUGGAAUGCGCAGAUAUUAGGAAGAACACCAGUGGCGAAGGCGGCCUUCUGGGCCAUAACUGACGCUGAGGAGCGAAAGCUAGGGGAGCAAACAGG